GGAUCUCUAUCUGGAGAUCACUCCCCUUGGAGUCUUUCUACGAGCCUAGGACAUGGAUGUAUGUGAAGAUACUCAGAGAAAAUUAUGAGAAAAGAAUUCACUCACAAUUCAUCUGAAAUGAACUGAGGUGAAGGAUACGCCAGCUGGAAAUGGGGAUAUGGAUGUGAAACAAGGAGGAUGCUAAAGUCUAUAUGAUUACAAUUUGAAUCAGUCUGAGAAGAAAGCAAGCUCUGAUUGAAAGUCUGGCAGACUUCUGUAAAGAAGACACAUUUUUCUGCUAAAAAGAAAACAUGUGAAGGAGUGAGGAAAAUCCUGAACGACAUCUGAAAUGCACGCAGCAAGUUAGACCAUGACAGGAGAUGGCUGGGGGACAGCUGUCACAGUCUGGAUUUGAUCAAUUCUUUCCCCGCACCCACUGCGCUCAAGGGGUAAGGCUAGCCAGACUGGCAUCAGCACAUGGCUGCCAUGCAGAGAGACAACGGAGGGUAACAUCCCAGCAGAGUUACCAACACAACCAAAUAAGCAGGUUGCCAGGAAUCCUGAUGAGGACAGGCCUACAGCUGUUUAAAAAACCAUAAGCAUCCAUUUGGCUGUGGCAAGUACUUUUACAGGAGAACUCCUCUUAGGGAAACAUGGUAGUAGACAAGAAGCUCUUCAAAUUCUAGAUGCAGUUUUUGUGCAGUGCAUUGGUCAGCAGUUUAACUGAGGUGGUCGCUCUCAUCAUUAAACCACCUCAGUUACCACAGCCACAAUCUGAACAAGGAAAAACUGUGCAGUGACUGUUCUUCUCUUAUGAUUCCUCCACAACAAGACACCAGGAUAAUCUGUACUGUAACUACUCCAAAAGUAGCAGAAAUAGAGAAAACACCCUAGGUCUACACUGCAAAAACAAGAACCACCAAGGAGUCAGGUUUGGCCAGCCUCCUACUGCUGCAGCAGUGCACAGUUUCACUUUAUUCACUACCUUCUAAGUAAAAUUCUACAUUUUUAAUAAGCAACCAGUUUUUUUAUAUGCAAAUAUGAAUAUCCAAGAGAUUAUAAAAUCUCUUACUGAAUGGGCAUUCCAUGGUAAAGGUGCAGAAGAAAACAAUAUGACAUGCAAGAAGAAUGAGCAAAAGGAGUUUUUUGCAUGUGAUACAACACUGAAGUUGUAUGCUUAUGAAAUGCAUGACUUGGAGCUAAUUAAAAUCUACAUUCCAAAAAAAGUCAGGCUCUGUUUACAGUUUUUAUAAAAUUACUCUUUCAUCAAGAAUGUAUUUUACUGUCCACGUAAACAUGAAAGCGGAUGUUUUUUUUUCAAAAAGAGAACAAGAAUAUUCUACAGAGUUGCAGUUGUAUUGGAGAACAUCCACUUUCCAUUAGCUUGUUCGCUGACUGGCAGGCAAGAGUUUAGAGAAUGAAGCACUGCCAGCACCAUUUCCUGUAAAAAAUGUAAUUCUGCCCAUUAUUAACAUCUGAUUUAUUAGGAAAAAAAAAGGGCCCUAAAAUAAUCUUCCUCUGUAGUAUCUUAUCCAUGAAACCAUUCUACGAACACAGUAGUACAAUGCUCAGAUCUAGGAUCAAAAGCACACCAACAGGCAACACCCUGAAUUACAUCAUAUCUUGCACAUUUGAAGAAACUCAGAAAGUUUUUGCAUUAGCAGACUAUAAGGACUUACUAGCACAGAUUAAUUUGUAUCUAGCUAUAAUUUCUUCCAUGCACUCUCCAGUACAUGGCCACCAAGACGAGUAGGGGUCUGCAGGAAGCACACGAGGAGGGGCCAGGUCAGCUGCAUCACAUCACCCUGCUGCCAGUAGGGAGGCUGCUGAAAAGACAGAAACAGCCUUCUCCAAGAUGCAAAUGCCAAGGCAGGAGGCAACAGCCGUAUGCCAGAAUAUGCAAAAAAAAAAAAACCCAGCUGGGCAUAAAGACACUUAUGUAUUUAUUUUUGUUAACAGGAAGAUGGUCAAGCACUGGAGCAAAGCCCAGUACGGCUGUGCAGCCUCCUUCACUAGAGAUGCUCUAACCUCAGGACAGGCCCUGUGUAACUCAAUUUUACUGGGCACAGCUUGUGCAGGAGUUUGAGGCUGGAAAAGCUCCACAGGUCCCUCCCAACUCACAUGACUCCAUGAUUUGUGACACUUGGCAGGGAGUUGGACAAGUAAGUAAAGCAAAAUGUCUGGAAAGAUGCAGUAGUCUCUGGGAUUGCCUCUCUUAAUCAGCUUCUUAUGUAUUUAUAAUCUUUGGAAGAGGAGCACAAUCAUUCUUAAGUUGAACCCAAGCCAUUCUAUCACAGCGAGCUCCCAGAGUGCAUGUCCUGAUUUACAGUCACGUCAGUCAGAACAAUCCUCUGUUGAAAAUCUGGAGACUUUCCCCUUUAGCCUCUCACCACUCCUAGCUCAUAUUCCUUAGCCUUGUACCUUUCCCUCUCCUUCCCACCAGACAUGUCACCUUUUCUUCCUUCUCCCUUCUUCUGCUCCCAUCUUCAAAAUGCUCCUUUUUGGCACAUGGAAGGGAGCUAAAGCAGCAGCAGCGUGGAGGGCUGAUGGGUGUCAGCCCCGAGGUGCAACAAAAAGGCAAACACUUUCACCUCCGAGAGCCCGUUUCCAGGAGCAAGUACAUCCCAACUCCUCCCAGCUUCCCCGCUUGUAAUGGUGACAUUCCGCUCUCUUCAGGUUAGGAUGUAAAACACUCUGAAUUGGCUGAUGGGGGCUGCUUGGGAAACAAAUGCUGUCUGAAUGUUAAUUCUGUUUUCUCCUGGAAAAGGACACGGGCCAAGACAGAAUUCAAAGCUGCAGUUGCAUUUGUAUCACUCAUGCAAGGAAUGCACAAAAGCUAUCCAAACAAUGAGAUAAAUCCACACUACUGAAUAUACUUUCAUCUUUUUUCAGUUUGUUUUCCAACUCAAGCAAGAUGUCCACAGAUUUUUUUUAAAUGAAAAUUUAAUAUCAACAUGAGAACCAAUGUAGUGUUCACCUAGCAAUCUGUGAACAAUAUUAUCUGUAACAAAGCAAAGGGAACGGAACUUACAACAUCCCCUAAAAAUGCUCUAAAAAUAUCUGCUAGCUUUACUGAAAGAAAAAAAUAUUUUAGCUUCAGUAGCAGAGGUCUGUGUUUUUAGAGGAAAGGGUCCAGAGGAAAAUUACAUAUUUGUGGUUAAGCUGGGAGUCAUGAUGUCUAUGCAUACGUAUAACAUGUGGUUGCAGAUUCAUAAUACACAAGCCCUUCAAACAAAAAAAAUGUAGGUUUUCAAAGAUUAGUCUGUAAAAAGAGUAAUUCAUUUUAAUCAGUCUUAUUUCUAUGGUUCUUGAAGUCAGCAGUGCAACGAUGAGGCUCUUCCUUCCACUAAGCAUACACAGACAAUAAGCAGAAUGCAAAUCAAAUGGGAAGUGCAGCAGCUCUCCCAGCACAGACCCCCUGCAGCAGGUUCCUCAAGAGAGAUGUUAAAACUCCACUUCUUCUUUCUGUGGAUUAGUCUAUUUUACAUUUUAAAUGACUAGCUAUGCAAGGAUAGCUGACUUUAUGCAAAGAAAACAUACUUAGAAAAGGCUGGAUACAUUACGAAAAUAAUUUUCAUGUGUUUAAGAAGAUGUAUAAAACUAACUAUAAGCAGGCAAGGAAACUCCUUCACGGUCUGGUUCUCGCUUGAUUUGUACUUUAUUAUUACCUGUUUUGGUGCAAAUUAUGUAUAUAUCUUCUAAGGUUAAAAAAAUGACAACAUUUGUGGACAGUCUUGGUGAAGCCUUGUUUCCACAGCACAUUAUUGAGCUAGAAUAAUCUUGUCCUCCAUUUAAAGGAAAGAAAAUAGUCUAGUAUGGCAAAAAGUAACAUUAUUGCUGGUGCUAAAGAACAUUUUUAUGUUCCACAGUAACCCAGAAGAGUAAAACCAAAAGACUCAAUGGCGCUCUUAACAGAAUAAAAGAAUUAUUCUUUAACUGAAAUAGAAAUAAAAGGUGCAACAGCUAAUAAAUUUGCCUUUACAGUUCAUUGCUUUGGCAUUCAGACAAACAACAUUAUCUGAUACUUGGUAUGUUUAAAGUUUCUGAAAGAAGUAAUAAUAAUGAAAGAAAUUCCACACAGGCUUUUCCCCAACAAAUUCUUACGGCAUCACAGGUGAAAACCCUCAGUCUCUUCAUCUUAAAUACUGACUUUACAUUCCCAACUACUUCAACUAUUUGAAGAAAUCAAAUGCUUGUAAGGAACUGCUGAGAUAAAAAGACUGCAGAAAAGUCAGUUGCAAUGAAAAAUAUCAAGGUCCCUUGUGAGACUGAAGUAGGCAGGAAUGCACAACAGUGCAUUUAAUUUCACAAAUAGCUGUCACAAAAACAUCUUCUGUAUUCUACUGAUGCACUUUUGCCUACAUCCUGUAGACACAGUUGAGCGUGAACACUGUAUCUGUGUUUCUUUUUAAUAAUAUGAACUAAACUGGCUUUUACAUUAAGUAUAAAGUCAUGUAAUAUUUCUGGUUUAUUUGGUUUCUUUAUGUUUUAACUCACUCAAGGGCUGUGGUUUACCUUAUAUGUCACAAAAAUUAUAAAUUAAUAAAAUUACAUGCAAGAGA